GUAUAAAUGAGAGAUCUGCAAAUUUUGUUAGUACAAUGAAGACAUUUUACAGGCAGAAAAUAUCUCUCGGAAUUGAAAAGGGAAACACUCAUCUAGAUUUCAAGGCUGUUGGAGGAUUUGAGAGGGCAACACAAGCUACCAAACCCUGUCAGGCAAUAAGAUGGCUUCCAUAGGAGAGGCGUUUUCUGUGACAAAUAGGGCAUACAAUAACACUUGGCUUCAGUAGUGGUGACCUGAAUUGCAUCAAGGUCAGGAAUGAAUCGAGGUGUCUGCGGAGACACGAAAAUGAAAAGAUGGGCUGAGAGGAAAUGACUUUAUGGAUGACUUGGGAUCUCGGUCUGUUUUCUUGAGAGAUGAAAAAUGACCAGUUUCUGAAAUUGAGCUGGGAAAGACUUGGGAAAAAGCCCUCAGAAGAGCGGUCUGAAGAGUUUGAGGAUCAGCCUGAAGAAGCCUAGAGCACAGGAAAUGAUCUUAAUCAGACAGCUCUGGUACACCGUGUCUCCCCAGGUCCUGAUUUUAAUCUAAGCAAAUCAUCCAUCCUAUUCAACUAAGCCAAAGGAAAUUUCUUGAAGGAGCCUUUUAGCCUGACAGACUUGGAAGAACAGGAAAUGGCGGGAUCUGAAAGAAAUCAGGGUGUUUUUAUUUAAAAAAAAAAUGGAAAUAGAGGUAACCAGCAUGAGAUGAACUUAGCUUCAGAAAACAAACAUGAACAGGGAUAAUACACAGGCGCCUUCUUCCAAGACCUCGUGCGCUAGACAGUGAGGGCAACUGAAUCCCAAAGACUGAAAUAGAUGACAGAAGACUUAUGAAGCUACUGUUUUAUAUUCUGAAGACAUGUUUAAUUUUUAGUCAUUGGUUU
rnacentral:lncRNA from 1 species